AUGGCCGCCGCCGUCGCCGUCCGCUCGAAGCGCAGGCUCCUACCCCACCUCUACCGUCUCCUCCACUCCACCGCCGCCCCCUCGCCCAACCGCUUCCUCCGCCACGCGUCGCCGGUGCCCCGCGCCGCCGACCACUCCCCUUUCCUCCGCCUCCCCGCCGCGCGCGUCUCCACGCUCCCCACCGGCCUCCGCGUCGUCACCCAGUCCUACCCGGCCGCCACCCGCAUGGCCUCCGUCGGCGUCUGGGUCGACGCCGGCAGCCGCUUCGAGCUGCCCGGCACCAACGGCACGGCGCACUUCCUCGAGCACAUGGCCUUCAAGGGCACCGAGCGCCGCCCCACUGCGAACGCGCUCGAGGUGGAGAUCGAGGACAUGGGCGCGCGCCUCAACGCCUACACCUCCCGCGAGCAGACCACCUUCUUUGCCGACGUGCAGGGCCGUGACGUGCCAGCCGCGCUCGAUGUUCUCAGCGACAUCCUUCAGCACCCGCGCUUUCCGCAGCAGGGCAUCCAGCGCGAGCGCGGCGUCAUCCUGCGCGAGAUGGAGGAGGUGCAAGGAAUGAUGGAGGAGGUGAUAUUUGAUCACCUGCAUACCGCAGCAUUCCGAGACCAUCCGCUGGGGGACACGAUAUUAGGUCCUACGGAGAACAUUAAAUCUAUCUCGAAGAAAGAUUUGCAGCAGUACAUUUCAACGCAUUAUACCUGUCCUAGAAUGGUUGUAUCUGCUUCUGGAGCUGUCGAUCACGAUGAGGUUGUUGAUCAAGUCAGAAAAUUGUUUACAGGAUUCUCUACUGAUCCAACUACUGCAGAUCAGCUUGUUGAGGCAAAUCCGGCUAUUUUUACUGGCUCAGAGGUUCGUGUGGAGAAUGCCGAGAUGCCUCUAGCGCAUAUUGCAAUUGCUUUCAAGGGUUCAUCCUGGACUGACCCUAGCUCUAUUCCUCUUAUGGUGACCCAAAGCAUAUUGGGAUCUUGGAAUAGGAGCAUCGGCGUAGGGAACUGCUCAGGGUCUGCUUUAGCUCGUGGCAUCAGCAAUGGUGAGCUAGCUGAGAACUUGAUGGCAUUCAACACUAACUAUCGCGAUACAGGAUUAUUUGGCAUCUAUACUAGUGCUCCGCCUGACGCACUACAUGACCUGUCACGGUUAAUAAUGGAAGAAUUUAGAAGACUUGCAUUCAGAGUGUCAGAGACAGAGGUUGCUCGUGCUCGUAAUCAGUUGAAGUCCUCUCUUUUGCUUCACUUUGAUGGAUCAACUGCAGUUUCUGAAAAUAAUGGUCGCCAGAUGCUUACUUAUGGACGAGUAAUGCCAUUCUUGGAGCUUUUUGCUCGGAUUGAUGCUGUUGACUGCGAUACAGUAAUGAAAACAGCCAAGGAGUUUAUAAUUGACAAGGAUGUUGCCCUUGCUGCAGUUGGGCCGAUCUCUAAUUUGCCAGAGCUCAGUUGGUUCCGCUCACAGACUGUUUCUGACGACAAAUUUACUUCAAGAGUAUUUUCGCUGUUCGCACAGAAUAACUGA
rnacentral:rRNA from 1 species